AUUUGGAAUAUGUUGACUUAGCAUUUGUAGCUGCUUGCACAUUCAGAAAAAUUUUAGUGAAUCAUUACCUCAUAUGUAUUUGGCUUUUUUUUUUUCUUUAAUCAUCAGGUGGGUGUUCCAGGAGAGAUUCAUGCAUCCAUCAUAGAAAUGCCUGAGAUAUACUAGGUAGCAUGUUUUAUGCCUGUAUUUUGUCAUCAGCGAAGUCGUGAGAAAUUUCUUUCAGAACUUUUGGAAGAUUAUCUACUAGUAAUGUCAAAUAUGGUUCCUGGGGUUAGAAGGUAGUCUGAUUUAAGACCGUUUAUUUUUUUUUCCCCUAAACCUUCAGGGUGGCAGGUCAGGAUGAUAUCUGAAAACUGUCAUCAUAAGAAACAGAUACCUGCCAAUAACUCUGUAUGGCCACUUGGAAGGCUGCGAUUACAUGGACCUACCAACAUUUUCUAAGUGUGUCUCACUUUGCAUUUCCUUCACAUUUUUCCCAUUACUUGGAUCUUCAGCCUCACAUUGUUGUACACCAAUCAAAACUCCCUGAGAAGGAAUCAACAUGGACUGGACAAGGAUUUGCUCACAGCCACCCCAUAUUUGGGUGGAGGGGCUGUCAGCAGUGAGCUGGAGAAGCAGCCGUGGAGCGAGGCUGCUGCAUGUGUGCUCAUUUACUUCUUGGACAAAGAGACGUGCAGUACUGACUACUGACCAGGCAUUGUGCUGGGCACAGUCAGAGGAACCUUCCAGCAAGCCUCUUACCUGCCUUCCUAAGGAGCAAGUGUGUUGUGAUGCUGAGUCCCCUCAGACUACCCCGCACAAGGACACAUUCACCUACAUGUGAAAGAACGUGAGCCCAAGAAGGAGGACCAACAUCUCCUAAAACGAGAACUCACUCCCCGUCUUACCCGUAAGUGGCACCGUAAGUACUGGUUGAAUUGUCUGCUUUCUUUUUCUUCCAGACUUAUUCUUUAGACUUUGGCUCUAUAGACCAACAUAACCUUUUUCAGCUUCUCACUUAUCUGAGUGCCCAGGACUUGGCUUCUUGCCUCCUUGUCCUCUUGCCUUUGAGUCCAGGCUGAGGCUCUGAAAGUCAACCUUUGCUCACCCAUCUG
rnacentral:lncRNA from 1 species